rnacentral:antisense_RNA from 1 species
CUCUCCCCGAAGGUCCUCUGAGGAGGAGAAACAAAGUAAGGCGUGCAUGAGCGACAUGGGAGAUUGUAUGACGGAGUCUCACUCUGUCGCCCAGGCUGGAGUGCAGUGGCGGGAUCUCGGCUCACUGCAAGCUCUGCCUCCCGGGUUCACGCCAUUCUCCUGCCUCAGCCUCCGAAGUAGCUGGGACUACCAGUGCCCGCCACCACGGCCGGCUAUUUUGUAUUUUUAGUAGAGAUGGGGUUUCACCGUGUUAGCCAGGACGGUCUUGAUCUCCUGACCUCGUGAUCCGCCCACCUCGGCCUCCCAAAGUGCUGGGAUUACAGGCGUGAGCCACCCUGCUCGGCCUAAUGUGUGCUUAUCUUAACCAAAAUGAGCCCUCAUUUCACUUUCCUGUUCUACUCUAAGGAAGAUAAAAUAUCAUUCCAACUUGAGGUAGAGGCAGGUGCCAGUACCCAAGACCCUGGGCUGUGCAGCAGGGGCUACUGUAAACCCAAGACCCCAAACUUCCUCCCUCUGCCAGAGCCAGGGAGCAGCUCUGACGCCCUCUAGCCCCUUCUCCGUUAGCCUCAAUUUCAAAUAAAA